CCUCCCUCUUCCACCAAAGACAGCAAGACCAACCCCUCCUCUUCCUCCUCUUCCUUAGCCUACUCAGUGUGAAGAUGAGGAGGAUGAAGGCCUUUAUGAUGAUCCACUUCUGCUUAAUGAAUAGUAAAUAUGUUUUUUCUUACGAUUU